rnacentral:rRNA from 1 species
AGUGAACGCUGGCGGUAGGCCUAACACAUGCAAGUCAAACGGCAGCACAGGAGAGCUUGCUCUCUGGGUGGCGAGUGGCGGACGGGUGAGGAAUACAUUGGAAUCUACUUUUUCGUGGGGGAUAACGUAGGGAAACUUACGCUAAUACCGCAUACGACCUACGGGUGAAAGCAGGGGACCUUCGGGCCUUGCGCGAUUGAAUGAGCCGAUGUCGGAUUAGCUAGUUGGCGGGGUAAAGGCCCACCAAGGAGACGAUCCGUAGCUGGUCUGAGAGGAUGAUCGACCACACUGGAACUGAGACACGGGCCAGACUCCUACGGGAGGCAGCAGUGGGGAAUAUUGGACAAUGGGCGCAAGCCUGAUCCAGCCAUACCGCGUGGGUGAAGAAGGCCUUCGGGUUGUAAAGCCCUUUUGUUGGGAAAGAAAUCCAGCUGGCUAAUACCCGGUUGGGAUGACGGUACCCAAAGAAUAAGCACCGGCUAACUUCGUGCCAGCCGCCGCGGUAA